rnacentral:rRNA from 1 species
GAUGAACGCUAGCGGCAGGCUUAACACAUGCAAGUCGAGGGGCAGCAUGAGACGGAGAUUCGUCGAAGUCUUGAUGGCGACCGGCGCAAGGGUGCGUAACGCGUGAGCAACUUGCCCGUUUCAGGGGGAUAACCGGUGGAAACGCCGACUAAUACCCCAUAGUAUUGAGUUCAGGCAUCUUUACUCAAUUAAAGAAUUUCGGAAACGGAUAGGCUCGCGUGACAUUAGCUAGAUGGCGGGGUAACGGCCCACCAUGGCUACGAUGUCUAGGGGUUCUGAGAGGAACGGUCCCCCACACUGGAACUGAGACACGGUCCAGACUCCUACGGGAGGCAGCAGUGAGGAAUAUUGGUCAAUGGUCUGACGACUGAACCAGCCAUGCCGCGUGAAGGUGACGGCCCUAUGGGUCUUAAAACUUCUUUUGAAGGGAGCAAUAAGUCUCACGUGUGGGAUGAUGAGAGUACCCUUACGAAUAAGCAUCGGCUAAACUCCGUGCCAG